rnacentral:rRNA from 1 species
UGGGGAAUUUUGGACAAUGGGCGAAAGCCUGAUCCAGCAAUGCCGCGUGUGUGAAGAAGGCCUUCGGGUUGUAAAGCACUUUUGUCCGGAAAGAAAUCCUUGGCUCUAAUACAGUCGGGGGAUGACGGUACCGGAAGAAUAAGCACCGGCUAACUACGUGCCAGCAGCCGCGGUAAUACGUAGGGUGCAAGCGUUAAUCGGAAUUACUGGGCGUAAAGCGUGCGCAGGCGGUUUGCUAAGACCGAUGUGAAAUCCCGGGCUCAACCUGGGAACUGCAUUGGUGACUGGCAGGCUAGAGUAUGGCAGAGGGGGGUAGAAUUCCACGUGUAGCAGUGAAAUGCGUAGAGAUGUGGAGGAAUACCGAUGGCGAAGGCAGCCCCCUGGGCCAAUACUGACGCUCAUGCACGAAAGCGUGGGGAGCAAACAGGAUUAGAUACCCUGGUAGUCCACGCCCUAAACGAUGUCAACUAGUUGUUGGGGAUUCAUUUCCUAGUAACGUAGCUAACGCGUGAAGUUGACCGCCUGGGGAGUACGGUCGCAAGAUUAAAACUC